rnacentral:tRNA from 1 species
CUAAAUAUAGUUUAAAUAAAACAUUAAUUUUGUAAAUUAAAAAUAUUUUUAAC